GGAUCAGACUGGGCUUCACAGGCUGUGGAAUUUUCAACAGGGCCUGAAGGAGCAGUGGCAGCAGGUGCUUGCUAAGAAUACCUCUGGAAGAGAGAGGAAGAGAUUCCAAGAAUGUGGUCAUCCUGACCCAGCUCAUUCAGAUUCAUUUGUCUCGUGAUAAAAAUUAUAGACAGAAUACACCAGGUGUACAGAAGAAGAUAAAUAGUUCAGAUGUCUAUG